rnacentral:rRNA from 1 species
GGCGGUAUGACAGAACUGUGGGGACACGUAAGGAAAGCGGAAGCCGGGAAUGGAAAGCCCGGUGCAAGCGGGGUACCAGCCACUUUGGCAAAUCCGGGUGGCAAUGGGAAGCCGUGAUGCGGAGCGAAAUAAAGUAGCGAAGUCCGUGAGCCAUGCGUCAAGAAAAGCCGCUAUUGUUUAUACCGUACCCGUACCGUAAACCGACACAGGUGGAUGAGGAGAGAAUCCUAAGGCCGGCGGAAGAAGCAUUGUCAAGGAACUCGGCAAAAUGGCCCCGUAACUUAGGGAUAAGGGGUGCCUGGGAAGCCAGGCCGCAGAGAAUAGGCUCAAGCAACUGUUUAGCAAAAACACAGGUCUAUGCGAAACCGAAAGGUGAGGUAUAUGGGCUGACGCCUGCCCGGUGCUGGAAGGUUAAGAGGAGAGGUUAGCGGUAACGCGAAGCUUUGAAUUUAAGCCCCAGUAAACGGCGGCCGUAACUAUAACGGUCCUAAGGUAGCGAAAUUCCUUGUCGGGUAAGUUCCGACCCGCACGAAAGGCGUAAUGAUUUGAGCGCUGUCUCGACAAUGCAUCCGGUGAAAUUGAAGUACCAGUGAAGAUGCUGGUUACCUGCGCCAGGACGGAAAGACCCCAUGGAGCUUUACUCCAGUCUGGUACUGGGACUCGGUAUUGCAUGUACAGGAUAGGUGGGAGGCUAGGAGAUGGUAACGCCAGUUGCCAUGGAGCCGCUGUUGGGAUACCACCCUUGCAGUAUUGGGUUUCUAACCAGCCGCCGUGACCCGGCGGUGGGACAAUGCCAGACGGGGAGUUUGACUGGGGCGGUCGCCUCCGAAAGGGUAUCGGAGGCGCCCAAAGGUUCCCUCAGAAUGGACGGAAACCAUUCGAAGAGUGCAAAGGCAGAAGGGAGCUUGACUGCGACACCGACGGGUGGAGCAGGUACGAAAGUAGGGCUUAGUGAUCCGGUGGUAAAGUGGGAAUGCCAUCGCUCAACGGAUAAAAGCUACCCUGGAUAACAGGCUUAUCACUCCCAAGAGUUCACAUCGACGGAGUGGUUUGGCACCUCGAUGUCGGCUCAUCGCAUCCUGGGGCUGUAGUAGGUCCCAAGGGUUGGGCUGUUCGCCCAUUAAAGCGGUACGCGAGCUGGGUUCAGAACGUCGUGAGACAGUUCGGUCCCUAUCCGGCGUGGGCGUAGGAUAUCUGAGAGGAGCUGUCCUUAGUACGAGAGGACCGGGAUGGACGGGCCGCUGGUGCAUCGGUUAGACUGCCAAGUCUACGGCCGAGUAGCCAAGCCCGGAAGGGAUAAACGCUGAAGGCAUCUAAGCGUGAAGCCCCCCUUAAGAUGAGAUAUCCCAUUCGAAAGAAGUAAACCCCCUUGAAGACGACGAGGUAGAUAGGGCAGAGGUGGAAGUGCAGCAAUGCAUGGAGCUGACUGUUACUAAUCGGGUGAGGGCUUGACCAG